GCUGGGCGUGGUGGCACACACCUUUAAUCCCAGCACUUGGGAGGCAGAGGCAGGCGAAUUUCUGAGUUCGAGGCCAGCCUGGUCUACAGAAUGAGUUCCAGGACAGCCAGGACCAUACAGAGAAAAACUGUCUCGAAAAAACAAAAAAAACAAAAAAAAAAAGUUUUUCCUGUGUUGUAGCUGGAACUAAUUCUGUAGACUAGCUGGUCUCAAACUCACAGAGAUCCACCUGCCU
rnacentral:lncRNA from 1 species